AGUGAACGCUGGCGGUAGGCCUAACACAUGCAAGUCGAACGGCAGCACAGUAAGAUCUUGCUCUUACGGGUGGCGAGUGGCGGACGGGUGAGGAAUAUAUCGGAAUCUACUUUUUCGUGGGGGAUAACGUAGGGAAACUUACGCUAAUACCGCAUACGACCUACGGGUGAAAGCAGUGGAUCUUCGCACCUUGCGCGAUUGAAUGAGCCGAUGUCGGAUUAGCUAGUUGGCGGGGUAAAGACCCACCAAGGCGACGAUCCGUAGCUGGUCUGAGAGGAUGAUCGGCCACACUGGAACUGAGACACGGUCAAUAGUCCUAAGGGAGGCAGCAGUGGGGAAUAUUGGACAAUGGGCGCAAGUCUGACACAGUCAGACCGAGUGUGUGAAGAAGGCCUUCGGGUCGGAAAGCCCUUUUGUUGGGAAAGAAAAGCAGCAGGUUAAUACCCCGCUGGUCUGACGGUAACCAAAGAAUAAGCACCGGCUAACUUCGUG
rnacentral:rRNA from 1 species